CAUUAAUCCGCUCCACUCCCACUCUUAAUACAACUACUACAAUUCACAGAAACAAAGAAAAAAAGUGCGCAAAUUCCUGAAAAGAAGAUCGCACGCAGUAGCCAUGGCUUUGAACUCAAGGCCCACCUCCUCUUUGUUAUCAAGAAAAUUGAGUAAUUCUGCUGCAAAUGAUCCUGCUAAAUCCCUCUCUUUCUUCAAUCCCGUUCCACUUUUCUCCAACAUUUCCUUCAAGAAUGCUUCUCCAUCUCCACUUUUGCCUGUUUCGGUUAAGGCGUCAUCACCAUCAUCAACUUCUCCUUCCGCCACUGUUGCUCACUCCCAACAACUCAAGAUUAAGAGCGUGCCAACGCAGCCAUUUGAGGGGCAGAAGACUGGCACAAGUGGUCUUCGGAAAAAGGUGAAAGAGUUCAUGCAAGAAAAUUAUCUCGCCAACUGGAUUCAGGCACUGUUUGACUCAUUGCCACCAGAGGAUUACAAGAAUGCAGUCUUGGUUUUAGGCGGUGAUGGUAGAUAUUUCAACAAGGAGGCUGCACAGAUAAUUAUCAAAAUUGCUGCUGGAAAUGGUGUUGGGAAAAUCUUGGUUGGCAAGGAUGGUAUAUUGUCUACACCAGCUGUAUCUGCUGUAAUAAGGAAGAGAGAGGCUAAUGGUGGAUUUAUAAUGAGUGCAAGCCACAAUCCCGGUGGUCCUGAAUAUGAUUGGGGAAUCAAGUUCAACUACAGCAGUGGCCAACCUGCACCUGAGUCGAUUACUGACAAGAUAUAUGGAAACACUCUUUCUAUCUCUGAAAUCAAAGUAGCUGAUAUUCCGGACAUCAAUCUCUCUCAGCUUGGUGCAACAAACUAUGGACCUUUUAGCGUUGAGGUAAUCGAUCCAGUAGCGGAUUAUUUGGAGCUUUUGGAGCAAGUAUUUGAUUUUUCACUUGUCAGGAGCCUUAUAUUACGGCCAGAUUUCAGUGUCCUGCAGAUCUCUGAAAUCAAAGUAGCUGAUAUUCCGGACAUCAAUCUCUCUCAGCUUGGUGCAACAAACUAUGGACCUUUUAGCGUUGAGGUAAUCGAUCCAGUAGCGGAUUAUUUGGAGCUUUUGGAGCAAGUAUUUGAUUUUUCACUUGUCAGGAGCCUUAUAUUACGGCCAGAUUUCAGGUUCACAUUUGAUGCCAUGCAUGCCGUCACUGGUGCAUAUGCCAAACCAAUUUUUGUGGACAAGCUGGGAGCUAGCAUCGAUUACAUUUUAAACGGAGUGCCUCUUGAAGAUUUUGGACAUGGCCAUCCAGAUCCUAACCUCACAUAUGCGAAGGAAUUGGUGGACCUCAUGUAUGGAGAAAACGGACCUGAUUUUGGCGCUGCAAGUGAUGGAGAUGGUGAUAGAAACAUGAUUCUUGGGAAAGGAUUUUUCGUGACUCCUUCAGAUUCUGUUGCUAUUAUUGCUGCCAACGCAGAAAAGGCCAUCCCAUACUUCAAAACUGGCCCAAAGGGCUUGGCUCGAUCCAUGCCGACUAGUGGUGCUCUGGAUCGUGUAGCAGAGAAGUUAAACCUUCCCUUCUAUGAGGUGCCCACUGGUUGGAAAUUUUUCGGGAACCUGAUGGAUGCAGGGAAAUUGUCGAUCUGUGGAGAAGAAAGUUUUGGAACUGGUUCUGAUCACAUCCGUGAGAAAGAUGGUAUCUGGGCUGUUUUAGCUUGGUUGUCGAUAAUUGCUUUUAGAAAUAAGGACAAGAAACCUGGGGAAAAGUUGGUUUCUGUGUCUGAUGUUGUGUAUGAGCAUUGGGCGACUUAUGGAAGGAACUUCUUCUCUAGAUAUGACUACGAGGAAUGUGAGUCCAAUGGGGCUAAUAAAAUGAUUGACUAUCUUAGAGACUUGAUUUCCAAAGGCAAGACCGGCGAUGUAUAUGGAGACUACACCCUGCAGUUUGCAGAUGACUUCACCUACACUGAUCCUGUGGACGGCAGCGUAGUUACCAAGCAAGGCGUGCGUUUUGUGUUCACUGAUGGAUCCAGGAUUAUAUUCAGGCUAUCGGGUACCGGGUCUGCUGGUGCAACUGUUCGUAUAUAUAUUGAACAAUUUGAGCCGGAUUCAUCCAAGCACGACGUGGAUGCACAAAUAGCAUUGAAACCAUUGAUAGAUCUGGCUUUAUCUACAUCGAAGCUGAAGGAGUUCACUAGAAGGGAGCAGCCAACGGUCAUCACAUAGAUUGGGAUCUUUGAGGAAGAAACGACAGCGUUUGACCAUACCUGAGGUUCAAAAUGCCGAAAAGAGGUCGUCCGCGCUCCCAAGCAUCACAGGAUGCAGAUAACCAGCUUAGAGUCGACAAAGACAGUGUUGUCGACGACAUUAUUCCCGUGGCGCUAGCCAAAAGAUUUAGGGAGAGGUUAGCCGAGAUAGGCCCUGGGACCUCUGGUAGUCAAGGUGAGCCUAAACCACCUACGGGGCGAAAACUUAGCACAGUCUUUGUUGGAAGACUUAGCACUUUAGAUAUUUUUACAACCUUGAAUACACUGAACAAUGUUUUUUAGCAUAGUCUUUCUAAUUUUGAUCUUGUGAACACUCAGCCGAACCGUAUGUGCAUUCUUUUUAAUCAGACGGAUACAAA